GGUGGAAUGCGCAGAUAUCAGGAGGAACACCAAUGGCGAAGGCAGGUCUCUGGGCCAUUACUGACACUGAGGAGCGAAAGCGUGGGGAGCGAACAGGAUUAGAUACCCUGGUAGUCCACGCCGUAAACGGUGGGCACUAGUUGUGGGAACCUUCCACGGUUUCUGCGACGCAGCUAACGCAUUAAGUGCCCCGCCUGGGGAGUACGAUCGCAAGAUUAAAACUCAAAGGAAUUGACGGGGCCCCGCACAAGCAGCGGAGCAUGCGGCUUAAUUCGACGCAACGCGAAGAACCUUACCAAGGCUUGACAUACAGAGAAAUCCGGUAGAAAUAUCGGGUCCGCAAGGGCUCUGUACAGGUGGUGCAUGGUUGUCGUCAGCUCGUGUCGUGAGAUGUUGGGUUAAGUCCCGCAACGAGCGCAACCCUCGUUCUGUGUUGCCAGCAUUUAGUUGGGGACUCACAGGAGACUGCCGGGGUCAACUCGGAGGAAGGUGGGGAUGACGUCAAAUCAUCAUGCCCCUUAUGUCUUGGGCUGCACGCAUGCUACAAUGGCUGGUACAAAGGGCUGCGAUACCGCAAGGUGGAGCGAAUCCCAAAAAGCCGGUCUCAGUUCGGAUUGGGGUCUGCAACUCGACCCCAUGAAGUCGGAGUCGCUAGUAAUCGCAGAUCAGCAACGCUGCGGUGAAUACGUUCCCGGGCCUUGUACACACCGCCCGUCACGUCACGAAAGUCGGUAACACCCGAAGCCGGUGGCCCAACCCUUGUGGAGGGAGCCGUCGAAGGUGGGAUCGGCGAUUGGGACGAAGUCGUAACAAGGUAGCCGUACCGGAAGGUGCGGCUGGAUCACCUCCUUUCUAAGGAG
rnacentral:rRNA from 1 species